AACCUGCACUAUUUAAUGCUUGUGCCGUGUCACCUACGACUGAAUAAUGACUGUUGUUAUCCAUGAAGCAUUGCCUUUUAAUGCGAUUAGGGAAAGGAAACACUGUGCCAAAAUAUUGGUAUCAACUGCUGUACGGCUUGCAUCCUUUCUUCAUACAGAAGUGGAAUGUACCCAGCAUAUCCUUCAAAGGAAAGGACAUAGAAGCACAGCUAAAGAGGUAAUGCUGCAAGCAGCAACAACCACAAGAGAAUGAAAUGCCAAAAGAGAGACCAAAAGAAAGAAGGAAUAGGAGCCCAACAUGCAGCUACAGCAAUCGAUCCCAGUACCACGGGCAGAUUCCUGGUGCAAACUUGUUCACAUGUAUCUCCUGUACAAGGAGCUUUAAGGGUAGUGUCAGUCAUCAGUGGGGCAGAAUCAGUGCCAGCCAACUGUGAAUGAUAUGUCUACAAAGAUUGCCUAUACUAGUAUGUAUAAUGAUCCUUGCACUGGCAGGUAGAUUGCCCUGGUGCUAUAGGCAGAGUGUAGGCCAACAGCAAUACUACUGAUCCAGAUCCCCAACAGCACACAUUCUAGAAAAUUGUUUGGAGUCAUUUGUAGAGAGUUAGAGUUUCACAAUAGCCAGAAGUGUCAAACAAUGGGACAUAUGGCUCAGAACCCUGGUACUAUGGAAGCCAUCGCUCCUGUAGUGCUGAGUUAUAAACUCAGUCAGUAGUCAGUACUCAUGGCUCAGUUGGGUAUAAAAACCCUCUGUACAUACAAAGGAACAAAAGUAUUGUCACUUAAAAAGCAUUGUACUGUUUGGCAGGUAGUACAGAAUAGCAGCAGAUCUUAUAUAGUUUAAUCAGUCCACUUGGUGCAAUAGUGUCCAAUCUAAAAAUCCAACUGCAUUUUCUAUGUAUCAGCAACCUUGCAACGGAGAUGGAUGCUUAGAUUGGACACUAUUGGCCCAAAUGGACUAAAUCAGGUAAAUAACUUCUGUUGCUUUCUUUAAGCUUCUACUUAUAGCCAAACCGAAUCCGGAUAACAAAGGAUUCGGGGUUCAUCCGAAUUAGAAAAAAAGUGAAUUUGGUGCAUCCCUAAUUUUCAACUGACAUACUUAUCUAUUAAGUGAUGAUGUAUCAUCAGUAGCAACCAAAUAAUCUCUCUUCUCUACUGUUGUCCACUAGGCCUGCCAUUUUAUAACCAAGGGGGUACCCCUGGCAUUUAUUCUUUGACGGUGCACCCUGUUGGACAUACCAAAGGCUACAUUGGGGUUUCUAAGUAACAAUGCUAGUUUUCACACCGCUUCAUGCUUUUUAAGUGCUGAUGGCUUUGUUCCUUUGAGUUUUCAUGUCUGACUGGGCCGUGAACCUCAAUGACCAAUUGAGUUCCGUACUCAGCUUGCACCGCCCUCUAUGACCCACUAGAAAAACAAUGGUUUACAUCGUGCCAACUGAGCCAUUUGUCCUAUUGUUUGAUCACUUUUGAGUAUUGUGCAACUUAAACCAGAAUUUGUUAAACAUAGAAACCCCUAAUAUACCUAUCACUGUACUCUGCUACUUCAA